GCUGUAAAGCCACGCGUGUGUCUUCCUGAGAAUGGCUGCACAAGCGUGGCGUCGCAGGCCGUGAGCUAGCUUGGGCAGGGAUCUCUCUGUGCGGGGUGGCGAGUCCCUGGGAAAGCCAUCGUCUGGCGGAAGAAAGCCCAGGGGGACUUCUCAGAGCGCUGCUCCGGGAAGCCCUGCCUGCCGCUCUCGCCUAGGGAGGGGGAGCCGGGCGGCGCCGCAGGACCCCCGCCCGCGGCAAAAUGGCGGCGCCCUUCUCCGGAGCGGGAGCCGGGACGGGACGCCGAGGCGCGGUGCCGCAACGAGGGCAGAAGCAGCUCCCCGCUGCUAGGACCCUGUGGGUUUUGUUGCCGAGCGAAGGUGGCGCACCGGGUAAACCGAGGAAUCUAUUACAGAGGGAUGCAGCUCUCGUUAUCGCUUCUGCUGACUCCUGAAGCGAUCCUCUGCGCUGGUCCGAUAUCCCUGCCCGUCUGUGGCAAAAGAGUUUGCCCCCUCAGAUUGCAGAAGCAGCAUUGUGGAAUUUAGGUUUUGAAGAUGUCCCGGAUUUAAAGAUGAUGUGUAUUAAAUGAAGUAUGAGAAGAAACAGCUUCUUCCGACACUUGCACUCCUUUUCUUCAGCUCGUGCAGAAGGCUGACGGCCUGUCUCACUCUCAUCAGUGCUAUCCCACCAGCUCCUUUAGGAGCUCAGCACCACGUUUGGCCUGUUCCGAUCUCCUCAUUUCUGUGCUGCAACACCACCAUCCAUAAGAAGUCAGAGAGGAGAAAAGCUCUUUCCAGCGAGAUGGAGAAGGAAUUAAUUAUACCUCUGCCUCAUCCUGUGAGACCAGAAGACAUGGAGUAACUGUAAGCUGCGAUUCUCAGGAGACGCUAAGAGUCUUGGGUUCCUUCUCUGCCUGCCUCCCAAGGCCUCAGGGAUGAGAAAUCUUAGGCUUUAUGUUUUUCCCUAUGAAAUACUGUCGUGUUAAGGGGCAUAGCUGACUAACUGUUACGGGUCUGGUCGGAUUCAGGUUACUGAACUAUGACGGUCACGGAUUCACCAAUAACAUAGCACGUCCUUGGUCUAGUCGCAUUCAAUGAGAACUGUCACGGCUAGGAACAAUGCAAUGAAGGGCAGUUUAUUACAGCAACCAGGGACACAGGUUCUUUGGAUUGCCGGAGAUAAAUUCACUGUCUGCAAAAGCAAGCGAGCACGCAUGAAAUACACAGGUACUCGUCCUGGCUAUUAAUGCGUUAAAAGGCACAAAGGCUCUAGAGAUUUCUAAGUUUCCAUGGAGACACCUGGUACAACCAAGUGUUCAAAUCUUACCCCACGACAUCCCAAUGCAAGGGGAAGAGAGGCUCAGCCCGUCGACUGAUCCCGGAAGUCAGAAAGGUAUCCUUCGUGAUGGUAUCUUCCCUAACAUCCCCUUUCACUUAAGCCAAUUUACAUUGUCCGCUGAUCUAUUCUCUUUAGUGACCAGUGAUAGGACCCGCAGGAAUGGUGUCAAGCUGCGGCAGGAGAGGUUCAGGCUGGACAUCAGGAAGAGGUUUUUCACUGAGAGGGUUGUCGCGCGCUGGAACAGUCUCCCCAGGAAAGUAGUCACUGCACCAAGCCUGUCAGAGUUUAAGAAGCGUUUGGACUGUGCACUUAGUCACAUGGUCUGAAUUUUUGGGUUGACCUGUGUGGUUCCAGGAGUUGGACUU